AUGGACGCGUACCACCACCAGCGCCGCUUCGACGGCUCCGGCGACGCGCCGCCGCCGCAGCCCCCUCCGCCCUCCAACUGGUAUCCCAUCCCCGCGCCGCCGUACCACCCGCCCCACCCCAACCACCCGUACCCUCCCCCGCAUCACCAGNNNNNNNNNNNNNNNNNNNNNNNNNNNNNNNNNNNNNNNNNNNNNNNNNNNNNNNNNNNNNNNNNNNNNNNNNNNNNNNNNNNNNNNNNNNAGAUGCAGCCCCCGCCCCCCGCGCCCGGGAACCCCUGGCCUCCCCACCACGCUGCGGCCCAGCCCCCGCCGCAGAGCUACCCACCUCCGCCGCCGGGACAGGCAUGGGCGUAUCAUUCAUGGCCUCAAAAUCAUGGAUACCCAGGGCUUGCCAAUGAGGACGAUUGGGCCACAAAGGCAAAGGAAUGGGCUUCUGCUAAAUCUGUUACAGAGAAUCACCAGAUUCAGCAGCACACCAUUCCAAGUAGAACAGAGGUUCACCAUUAUGGCCACAAUGAUCAGUAUCAGCAACCAGCUGGUCUGCCGACAGAACCUUUACACCCACCAAUUCCACAAUCAAGUAGCGAUCAGUUGAUGUUUCAAAUGUCAGGUCAACAGAGGGAAACAAACUAUUUGCACGAUAGAGGUCCAAUGGUGCCACCACCGAAGAAUUUUGGUCCAUUUCCAUCCACCUAUGAGCAGGAGGUACCUUAUAAUUAUUCUUCUGCUCAAGGUAAUGGGAGUGCUACUAUUCAAUAUCCAAGCCCACAAGCUCAGCCAUCUCUGAGUGCCUCGUCAGUUCAAGACGGAUUUCCUCGUGGGACUCCUGGUGUGCCUGGGCAUGGUGUACAGUCUUAUAGGAUGAUGGCUGAUCCCAGUGACCAACCAUUGGAGUUCAAUGACAGAAAAGCUCCUGAUAUGGCAGUACAUGAGACGAUAAAUAUCAGAUCUAGUGCUCCAACAGCAGUGUCUGAACAUGGCACAGUUCCAACAUCAACUCAAUCAUGGGGCCCAUCUGCUACAGUUGGCUAUUUUCAUCCAGCUGCAGUACCACCACAAGCAUCACAGAUGGAUCCUUCUUUGCAUGCUGGACCACUCUUUGGAGCUCUCUCUGGUUCGAACUAUAUUCCACCUGCAGCAUUUGGUGUUGGUAGUGUAACUGAAGCAUUCCCUACAGAUGCAAACACUCUUUUCAAUGUUGCAGAACGGUCAAAGAAACCUCCAGUACCGAACUGGCUUCGAGAAGAGCUUCUAAAGAAAAAAUCCACUCCAGUCAGUGCUUCAGUGCAGCAUUCGAUAAAUUAUGAUUCCAUGGAUUCUGAAGAUGCUGUGGAACCACCAAAAAGAGCUGACCAAAUUGAUAGUAGAAGCAUUAGUUCAGCAAAAUCAAUCAUAGCUGAUGAAGCUGAUGAGGAUGAAGUUGAAGCGGCACGGACGGCAGCAAUCAACAAGGAAAUUAAACGCGUGUUGACAGAAGUUCUUCUAAAGGUUACUGAUGAUCUUUUUAACGAGAUCGCAACCAAAGUUAUGAAUGAAGAUGAUUCAUCAGCUGAAACAAAUGAGACCACUGGCGUCUCUAGCUCAAAGGACCUUGGUCUGGGAGAAGCAAAAGUCAAGACCACAGCUAAAGUUGUAGUCCCUGCUAAGCCAAACAAUGUUAGCUCUACUGGUCAUUCUGAUGGUAAUGGGCUAAGUUCUCCUAAAGGUGCUCUUCUUGGUCUUGCUAGUUAUGAUUCAGAUGACGAGGAUGAUGAGGGUGACGGUGAUGGUGAGAACGUUGAUGGCGAACUGCACAAUAAUAGUAACAGAAGUAUUGCUUCAGUCCAAAGUGUUCCAUCUGGAGAUGAUCAUAAAUCCAGUGACAGAAGAUCUCAGAGUUGGCCAACUGCAGAAUCUGAACGAGAGCCAAGUAUUCAUGACACACAGAAUGGAGAAGCCAAAACUUCUAUUCAGCCAAUUGGUGUGAUUCAUAAAACGAAUGAGAAGGUACAUGGACAUGCAGAGGUGGAUUUCCAAAAUGGAAAAACCUCUUCCGGCCAUCAUACUGAAAGUAAUAAUAAUAAUAAUGCGGAGAGCACUCACAGGCAUUUUGAAAGGAACGGUCAUGAGAAAGAUCUUAAAGAGGCGAAGGUUGUCAAUGGAAAAGACUCUGAGCCUUCUAGAACUGACAAGUUUAGAGAUGGUGACAAGCAUAGCAUGCCUGAAAAUAUUGAUAAAAAAGGCACCUACAAAGAGGAAAAGGGUUCUGGCAGGUAUGCAAAACAUGGAUUGGAUAGAUGGGAUGAUGCCAAAAGAGAUCGAAAGGACCUUCCAAAGGAUGCAAGAGAGAGAAAGAGGGAUUCUGCUGAUAGAAGAGACAUAGGAAAAGAUGGGAAUGACGAUAGAUCAAGGCAAAUUACUAAGAGCUCAGCUAGCCACAGCAGCAGAAGGUCACGGUCACGGUCACCAAGUGGGAGAAGCCGUGCUAGGAAUGAGAGUUCUUCACGUGUUCGAGGGAGUGUUUCAAGCGACGAGCCUUCUGAUAAUGCAAAAAGGAGAAAGAGUCAUUCUCGUAAAAACAGCAUGUCUCCCUCACCUCCAAAAUCUAGAAGCAGACGAGUUUCGCGGUCUCCACAUAGCAAGCAUUCUCACCGCAGGCAUUCACCUUAUUCAUCUGCUGAAAGGAAGAAGCGGUCCAGAUCUAGAACUCCGGUCAAGAGGAGGUAGAAGAAGCUAGGUGGUUUUGUUUGUUUCCACUAGGGAUGCUUGCCCUUUGCCCUUCCGAUGAGGAAACAACAUUUGCACGCCCACGAAACAAGAUGCUGGAUCUAGCCUCCAACAGAGGAGACGACUCGAGGACUCACGUGAUGGAUGUUGUUCGAAGGAUGAUGCACGUGCCCAGCGGAAGAUAUGUCCGGUUUGCCAAUAUUAGGAUAUGUAAUGUUUUGUACAAGCAGGGGACUUCAUAAUUUGUAGCUCUAGCGUCCCUUUAACUAUUUUAUUACUUGUAUUUUCUCUUGAGGACAUUUAGUACUAGUAUGCAAGGAGAGGAGACUGGCCGAGUUUCGUUGGGACAUGCUGCGAUGUAAUUUUGUAUUGUUAUAUAUGCUCAUCGCCUAUCCCUGAAUCAUAAUUAGGUCGGGAAAGUGUGUUGCAGGCCUCCACAUGUAAUUUGUAUUAUCCUAUGGAUGGACAUGCUGGAAUUUAUUUAGCAUUGAUUUGCAGAAACUAAAGAAUCCUAUUAUAUUUUUU
rnacentral:rRNA from 1 species